rnacentral:rRNA from 1 species
UACGUAGGAGGCAAGCGUUGUCCGGAGUUACUGGGCGUAAAGCGCGCGCAGGCGGCUAUCCAAGUCAGUGGUGAAAGCCCGGAGCUCAACUCCGGAACUGCCAUUGAAACUGUUUAGCUUGAGGAUGAGAGAGGUGAGUGGAAUUCCCAGUGUAGAGGUGAAAUUCGUAGAUAUUGGGAAGAACACCGGUGGCGAAGGCGGCUCACUGGCUCGUUUCCGACGCUCAGGCACGAUAGCGUGGGGAUCAAACAGG